rnacentral:rRNA from 1 species
UGGUAGUCCACGCUGUAAACGAUGUCGAUUUGAAGGUUGUUCCCUUGAGGAGUGGCUUUCGGAGCUAACGCGUUAAAUCGACCGCCUGGGGAGUACGGCCGCAAGGUUAAAACUCAAAUGAAUUGACGGGGGCCCGCACAAGCGGUGGAGCAUGUGGUUUAAUUCGAUGCAACGCGAAGAACCUUACCUACUCCUGACAUCCAGAGAACUUAGCAGAGAUGCUUUGGUGCCUUCGGGAACUCUGAGACAGGUGCUGCAUGGCUGUCGUCAGCUCGUGUUGUGAAAUGUUGGGUUAAGUCCCGCAACGAGCGCAACCCUUAUCCUUUGUUGCCAGCGAUUCGGUCGGGAACUCAAAGGAGACUGCCGGUGAUAAACCGGAGGAAGGUGGGGAUGACGUCAAGUCAUCAUGGCCCUUACGAGUAGGGCUACACACGUGCUACAAUGGCGUAUACAAAGAGAAGCGACCUCGCGAGAGCAAGCGGAACUCAUAAAGUACGUCGUAGUCCGGAUUGGAGUCUGCAACUCGACUCCAUGAAGUCGGAAUCGCUAGUAAUCGUAGAUCAGAAUGCUACGGUGAAUACGUUCCCGGGCCUUGUACACACCGCCCGUCACACCAUGGGAGUGGGUUGCAAAAGAAGUAGGUAGCUUAACCUUCGGGAGGGCGCUUACCACUUUGUGAUUCAUGACUGGGGUGAAGUCGUA